rnacentral:rRNA from 1 species
GACGAACGCUGGCGGCGUGCCUAAUACAUGCAAGUCGAGCGAAGUUUUUCUGGUGCUUGCACUAGAAAAACUUAGCGGCGAACGGGUGAGUAACACGUAAAGAACCUGCCUCAUAGACUGGGACAACUAUUGGAAACGAUAGCUAAUACCGGAUAACAGUAUUUCUCGCAUGAGAGAUAUUUAAAAGUUGGUUAUGCUAACACUAUGAGAUGGCUUUGCGGUGCAUUAGCUAGUUGGUGGGGUAAAGGCCCACCAAGGCGACGAUGCAUAGCCGACCUGAGAGGGUGAUCGGCCACACUGGGACUGAGACACGGCCCAGACUCCUACGGGAGGCAGCAGUAGGGAAUCUUCCGCAAUGGGCGAAAGCCUGACGGAGCAACGCCGCGUGAGUGAGGAAGGAUUUCGGUUCGUAAAGCCCUGUUGUUAGGGAAGAAUGGAUAUGUAGUAACUAUACAUGUACGAG